GGUGCAUGGUUGUCGUCAGCUCGUGUCGUGAGAUGCUGGGUUAAGUCCCGCAACGAGCGCAACCCUCGCCUCUAGUUGCCAGCAUUCGGUUGGGCACUCUAGAGGGACUGCCGGCGACAAGUCGGAGGAAGGUGGGGAUGACGUCAAAUCAUCAUGCCCCUUAUGACCUGGGCUACACACGUGCUACAAUGGGCGGUACAAAGGGCUGCGAACCCGCGAGGGGGAGCGAAUCCCAAAAAGCCGCUCUCAGUUCGGAUUGCAGGCUGCAACUCGCCUGCAUGAAGCCGGAAUCGCUAGUAAUCGCGGAUCAGCAUGCCGCGGUGAAUACGUUCCCGGGCCUU
rnacentral:rRNA from 1 species